rnacentral:rRNA from 1 species
AUUGAACGCUGGCGGAAUGCUUUACACAUGCAAGUCGAACGGUAGAGGGGGCAACCCCUUGAGAGUGGCGAACGGGUGAGUAAUAUAUCGGAACGUGCCCAGUCGUGGGGGAUAACGUAGCGAAAGUUACGCUAAUACCGCAUACGAUCUACGGAUGAGAGCGGGGGACUCGCAAGAGCCUCGCGCGAUUGGAGCGGCCGAUAUCAGAUUAGGUAGUUGGUGGGGUAAAGGCUCACCAAGCCAACGAUCUGUAGCUGGUCUGAGAGGACGACCAGCCACACUGGAACUGAGACACGGUCCAGACUCCUACGGGAGGCAGCAGUGGGGGAAUUUUUGGGACAAUGGACGCAAGUCUGAUCCAGCCAUUCCGCGUGCAGGAUGAAGGCCCUCGGGUUGUAAACUGUUUUUGUACGGAACGAAAGGUUCUAGUUAAUACUAGGAGCUCAUGACGGUACCGUAAGAAUAAGCACCGG